rnacentral:rRNA from 1 species
AACGUAGGGGCAAGCGUUGCCCGGAUUCACUGGGCGUAAAGCGGGUGUAGGCGGUCCUCUAAGUCGGAUGUGAAAUCCCCAGGCUUAACCUGGGAACUGCAUCCGAUACUGGAUGGCUUGAAUUCGGGAGAGGGAUGCAGAAUUCCAGGUGUAGCGGUGAAAUGCGUAGAUAUCGGGAGGAACACCAGUGGCGAAGGCGACUACCUGGCCUGUUCUUGACGCUGAGGCGCGAAAGCUAGGGGAGCAAACGGGG